UACGUAGGGGGCGAGCGUUGUCCGGAUUCAUUGGGCGUAAAGAGCUCGUAGGCGGCUUGGCAAGUCGGGUGUGAAAAUUUCAGGCUCAACCUGGAGCGGCCACUCGAUACUGCCAUGGCUUGAGUCCGGUAGGGGACCACGGAAUUCCUGGUGUAGCGGUGAAAUGCGCAGAUAUCAGGAGGAACACCGGUGGCGAAGGCGGUGGUCUGGGCCGGAACUGACGCUGAGGAGCGAAAGCGUGGGGAGCGAACAGG
rnacentral:rRNA from 1 species